rnacentral:rRNA from 1 species
AUUGAACGCUGGCGGCAGGCCUAACACAUGCAAGUCGAGCGAGCGGCGGACGGGGGCGUAAUGCCUAGGAAUCUGCCUGGUCGUGGGGGAUAACGUCCGGAAACGGGCGCUAAUACCGCAUCCUAUUAACUGGGCCUAGGUCGGAUUAGCUAGUUGGUGGGGUAACGGCUCACCUAGGCCACGAUCCCUAGCUGGUCUGAGAGGAUGACCAGCCACACUGGAACUGAGACACGGUCCAGACUCCUACGGGAGGCAGCAGUGGGGAAUAUUGCACAAUGGGCGCAAGCCUGAUGCAGCCAUGCCGCGUGUAUGAAGAAGGCCUUCGGGUUGUAAAGUACUUUCAGCGGGGAGGCGUUACCCGCAGAAGAAGCACCGGCUAACUCCGUGCCAGCAGCCGCGGUAAUAC